UACGUAGGGUGCAAGCGUUAAUCGGAAUUACUGGGCGUAAAGCGUGCGCAGGCGGUUUUGUAAGUCUGUCGUGAAAUCCCCGGGCUCAACCUGGGAAUUCGCGAUGGAGACUGCAAGGCUAGAAUCUGGCAGAGGGGGGUAGAAUUCCACGUGUAGCAGUGAAAUGCGUAGAGAUGUGGAGGAACACCGAUGGCGAAGGCAGCCCCUGGGUCAAGAUUGACGCUCAUGCACGAAAGCGUGGGGAGCAACAG
rnacentral:rRNA from 1 species